rnacentral:rRNA from 1 species
UACAGAGGUCUCAAGCGUUGUUCGGAAUUACUGGGCGUAAAGCGCACGUAGGCGGAUUUGUAAGUCAGGGGUGAAAUCCCGGGGCUCAACCUCGGAACUGCCUUUGAUACUGCAAAUCUCGAGUCCGGAAGAGGUGAGUGGAAUUCCUAGUGUAGAGGUGAAAUUCGUAGAUAUUAGGAAGAACACCAGUGGCGAAGGCGGCUCACUGGUCCGGUACUGACGCUGAGGUGCGAAAGCGUGGGGAGCAAACAGGG